rnacentral:rRNA from 1 species
GUGAGGAAUAUUGGUCAAUGGGCGAGAGCCUGAACCAGCCAAGUCGCGUGAAGGAAGACGGCCCUACGGGUUGUAAACUUCUUUUGCAAUGGAAUAAAAAGAGUUACGUGUAAUUCAUUGUAUGUACAUUGCGAAUAAGGAUCGGCUAACUCCGUGCCAGCAGCCGCGGUAAUACGGAGGAUCCGAGCGUUAUCCGGAUUUAUUGGGUUUAAAGGGUGCGUAGGCGGAUUGGAAAGUCAGCGGUGAAAGUUUGCAGCUUAACUGUAAAAUUGCCAUUGAAACUGUCAGGCUUGAGUGCAAAUGAGGUAGGCGGAAUGUGUUGUGUAGCGGUGAAAUGCAUAGAUAUAACACAGAACACCAAUUGCGAAGGCAGCUUACUGGGAUGCAACUGACGCUGAGGCACGAAAGCGUGGGGAUCAAACAGGAUUAGAAACCCGGGUAGUCC